rnacentral:rRNA from 1 species
CAGGCGCGCAAUUACCCAAUCCCGACACGGGGAGGUAGUGACAAUAAAUACUGAUACAGGGCUCUUUUGGGUCUUGUAAUUGGAAUGAGUACAAUUUAAAUCCCUUAUCGAGGAUCAAUUGGAGGGCAAGUCUGGUGCCAGCAGCCGCGGUAAUUCCAGCUCCAAUAGCGUAUAUUAAAGUUGUUGUGGUUAAAAAGCUCGUAGUUGAACCUUGGGCCUGGCUGCCGGUCCGCCUCACCGCGUGUACUGGUCCGGCCGGGCCUUUCCCUCUGUGGAACCCCAUGCCCUUCACUGGGUGUGGCGGGGAAACAGGACUUUUACUUUGAAAAAAUUAGAGUGCUCCAGGCAGGCCUAUGCUCGAAUACAUUAGCAUGGAAUAAUAGAAUAGGACGUGUGGUUCUAUUUUGUUGGUUUCUAGGACCGCCGUAAUGAUUAAUAGGGACAGUCGGGGGCAUCAGUAUUCAAUUGUCAGAGGUGAAAUUCUUGGAUUUAUUGAAGACUAACUACUGCGAAAGCAUUUGCCAAGGAUGUUUUCAUUAAUCAGGAACGAAAGUUAGGGGAUCGAAGACGAUCAGAUACCGUCGUAGUCUUAACCAUAAACUAUGCCGACUAGGGAUCGGACGAUGUUAUUUUUUUGACUCGUUCGGCACCUUACGAGAAAUCAAAGUGCUUUGG